CAACGACGUUAUCCCUCUGCAGAGGAUGCGGCGUCCCGAUUCCGGUUCGGGUCCUGGUCCCGGUCCUCUGGAGCCAGAUGUGAGCUCGCCUGAGGUUCUCCUACAAAAGCACAGUCCUGUCUUGAAGAUCUGGAUGAGACUCGCAGUCUCCACCUGAAGGGCCUUCUCUCCGAGUACUUCGCCAAGUUGACGGACUGGGAGAACCAGAUCAGAGCGGACAUCAGGAGCUGUCUCGGCUACCGAAGUGACGAGAAGUUUUCUGGGAGAGCUCGCAGGGCAUCGGUGAGGGCACACGGCGCUCACGCAGGUUGUCCCGUGCGGAUCCACGCGUGUGUUUCAAGUAGGUCGAUGCACCGUCUGUGGUUCAGCCAGUCCUUGUUACCCAGCUCAAACCUACGGCAUGGGCCGACGCUACUGGAGGAAGUGCAUCCACUUCGACUUCAACCAGCUCAUCCGACUGUCCACUGAGGAGAUCAUUCGCUUCAAGUGAGCGACGGGAUGCAGAUCCACAUGUGUGCACACCUGCCUCAUUCGCUCACUCCCUCACUUGUACUCUUCAGUCUGGUCUUGAUGGAUUUGAUGGGUUAAAAACUUUCUGGGUGGCACAUAUUUGUAUUUAAUUUAUCAGAGUAAAUAAGUUAUGUGACAACCGGGCUUUCCCCAUGGUCAUUCAUAACGAAUGCCCAUAAACGCUCGGUAAUGUCACUGUGAGUGUUUGAUGAUUCCACAAUCUUCAUAGACAAUAUCACAAGUCAGAUUAACCAAUUUAGACCAACACCUCUGUUUUGAAAAGCUGAUUCUCUCUUCAUAAAGUGACAGGAGCAACAAAACGCCGCAACCGGUCAGAAGGCUUGUGAGCUCUUUUGGCUCUGAAAGAGAUUUCUCAUUGUCGUGAUCACUAACCGAAAAUGUACAUGAAGCAUUCAGUAACGAACAAUGGUAAUUGGUUUAAAAUCGUUGCAUUAUUUGUACUUUACUGAGAGGUGCAGAUGAAUCAGAGCCUCUUUGAACCAAUCAGCAGCAUUUUCUCUCAUUUUGAUAAACACCAGGUCUGCUUUUGAAGCUGAAUGUGACUUGUCUUUUUGUUUCCUCUCCUGUUCAUACAUCUCUAAAACCCUCCCAUGGUCACAGUGGUGAGGCUCGAUUCUUCCUUAAGAGAGAGAAGCCAAAAUACAGAACGUUUGGACUUUUCCUCAUAAGAUUUGGCUUCACAAAUGAAUGACAAGGUCCCAGCAGGUUCCCGUCAUUUCCAGAUUCAUGUUUUAAUAGUGCUAACUUCUUUAAUUUAAGGGAAAAAUGAAGAAUGGCAUGUCUAUAUUCAAUUCUUAUUGGCCUAAUUCUGUGGUGUGUUAUUGUAUUAAUAUUCUCUUACCCCAUGAUGACGCUGAUAAUUGUCUUUGUAUGCAACCAGAGAGAAGAUUGUUUCCAUCAGAUAAAAUAAGUAGAUACCGCCAAUCAGUACCAACGUCUUGUAAAUGUAGUCUGGAGUUUGUGUAAAUGCGUCAGGCGAGUGAUUGUGGCUGUCCGUUUUGUCUGAGUGCAACAUGCAAAUCUAAAAACUGAACACACAGACCGGAGGAAAAUUAGUAUUUCUUGUUUAAAAAUCACGCCACUUUUACAGCUGCUAUGAAUUUCAGCUCCCCCCCCCAAAAAAAGCUUUUCACUCACUUCAGACAGCUAAAUUAUAGAAGUCAGUUGAUCUAGGUUGAUGGAAGAGAAGGCAUCCAAGCAGGCAUCAGCCCUCUGCUGCA